rnacentral:lncRNA from 1 species
CUUUUAUUGUUAAAAGGUUUGGGAAGUGUUUCCCUAUUUUAUUUUUGGAAAAAAGAUGAAUUUUAUGAAGAAUCUGAUGCCAUCUCAUACUUUCGAUUAGAACUGCUGAGUUAUUUAUUUUCAAUACAUUGUAAGUCAGUUUAUUUAUUUUCAAACUACCACAGAACAAACCAAUUUUUCUUGUGAUUAUCAAGGCUGAGUUAUUCAUUUUCAAAAUCCUCCUGCCCC